UUUAUUUGAUUAAGAUUUUUUUAUGCACCGAACCACGUUUUAAUUUUCACUAAAGUCCACUUUGUAUAUUUCAAAUAUAAUUCAUUUCACUUACCUUAAAUUCCCGGAACCAUCUUAAUCCCUAGUCCACUGGCCCAUCUGGAACAAAACCUGAAAAAUUUAAAACAAAUUUAUUAGAAAAUUUUAUAGAAAUAAUUAAAAUAAUUUCCACACUUUUUUUACUUACCAUUUCAUUCUGCUUCCAUCCGCCAUCUUUCAGAAUCGCCAUCAAGUUUUUUAUAGGCCCAAGACAGCCAACAUGAUCCCUGUAAAGAAAAGAAAAAAAUGGUUGUGUUAGAUAACAACACCACUAAUAAAUUUUUCUAUCACUAUGUUUUUGUUACUUACCUUAUUUAAAAUCCCCUUAUACGGCCGUAGAAAUCCAUCAGAACCUGCAAAGAAACAAAAAAAAUAAUAUAUUAUUUUAAACAAUUUGAAUUAAUAUUUUUAUUAUUUUAUUGUUUAUUUACCAGAAAAAUGCUUACCUCGUCGUUUCAUUGAGUUUUUUUAUUUGGGUGCUUCUCCUUUUACCCACGCGUAGUAUUCUUCUUAUUUGCCUUCUCCUCUUCCAUUCAAUCAAGCAGCUGUUCACAAUACGUCGCCGCCUAGCCAGUUUUUAACGGAGAAAGAAGAAGAGGAAUAAAAAUAACAACAAAUAGCUUUAGAAAAAAUUUUAUGUGGGCAAACAAAUUGCUGAAAAUUUGUUGAAGCCAUAUUGGUAACCGAGAAAGAAACAAAUGUCGGUCCUUUUUGAUUUUUGCUCGGAGAGAAGAAGAAGGUGGAGUCUGUGGCCUCGUCAGAAGAAGAAAAAACUUAAAUUUUUGAUUUGUAUUUAUAAAUAAAAUAAAUUUUAUUUACAAAAAUUUUAAACUUAAAGCUAAACUUAAAACUAAAACUUAAAAAUAUAAAAAUAAAAUAAAGAACCACAAAAUAUACAAACCUGCAAUCACCGACUCCAUCCAACGAGGGAGAAGCUGUUUUCCAGCACCACCACACCUGGGGUGCUCUGGUAUAAGUUUUGGUUUUCGACCUUCUGUGAGUUUGCACCCGGACGACAAGACGGACCGGACGAGUGUCCUUUUUAAAUAAUUUUCUAUAGAAAAAAGGAAAGGUUAGACUAUAUAAAUAUAUAUUCGUAUUGCUAGGCUUACCUAUCAUUCAUCGUAUCGAAUCUAUCCCGUUUGCGUUUUUUGAGCAGGGUUGAGCUCAGGCCUCUUACAAUGUAACGCGUGAUUUUGAGAUCUCAGGUGGUCUUAGCCAUAUAUAUUUAUAACAAAAAAACCUGUAAAAACAAGCAAAAUUAUUUAAAAGGUGGGUUAACUUAAAAUAUAUUUUCAAUUACUUACCUGUCCGUACUUUAUCCGUACCUAAUACGAACGGACAGGAAAGCCUCAUUCGCCAAAAGAACUCUUCCCGCUCUAUAAUUGCCUCCCGUAAACCAGCUAGUUGCCGCAAAAAAAGAAUUGCCAGAUCCGGUUUAGCUCCGAGCGGAAUUAUGAACUUUUCAAACGCAAACAUAAAUUUGAGUUCAUAUAGUUUAACCUCAAUCCAAACCUA
rnacentral:lncRNA from 1 species